UACAGAGGGUGCGAGCGUUAAUCGGAAUUACUGGGCGUAAAGCGCGCGUAGGCGGCUUUGCAAGUCGGGUGUGAAAUCCCCAGGCUCAACCUGGGAACUGCAUUCGAGACUGCAAGGCUGGAGUUUGGCAGAGGAGACUGGAAUUCCCGGUGUAGCAGUGAAAUGCGUAGAUAUCGGGAGGAAUACCGAUGGCGAAGGCAGGUCUCUGGGCUAUAACUGACGCUCAUGCACGAAAGCGUGGGGAGCAAACAGG
rnacentral:rRNA from 1 species